rnacentral:snRNA from 1 species
ACACUAACCUAGCUGGGAGGACACUGUGAUCAGGAAGGUGGAUUUCCCAGGGCAAGGCUUAUUUGCACAUACUCCAGGUGUGCUGACCCCAAAUGCAGGAAACUCAAUUGCAUAACUAGUCGGGGGGUGAGGAGGAAAUUUUUGUUUUGGU